rnacentral:rRNA from 1 species
AUUAGUAAGCGGAGGAUAAGAAACUAAACAGGAAUCCCUCAGUAAUGGCGAAUGAGCAGGGAUGGGCUCAGCGUGGAAAUUGGGGCGUGCGGCUUUGAAUUGUAAUAUUGAGAUGUACUGCCAGCGGAGGCGCAGAUGUAAGCCUUGUGGAAAGGAGCACCAGCGAGGGUGAGAGUCCUGUUUGACAUCUGCAGUCCACCGUGCACAGUGUACCUUCUACGAGUCGCGUUCCUUGGGAUUGGAGCGCUAAGUUGGUGGUAAAUUUCAUCGAAAGCUAAUUAUGUGUCUGAGACUGAUAGCGAGCAAGUACCAUGAGGGAAAGGUGAAAAGGACUUUGAACAGAGAGUUAAAAGUGCCUGAAAUUGCUGAGAGGGAAGCGGAUGGAACCAGUGGUUGCUCUUGGCGAGAUUGCUACAUGCUAUAAUGAUUGAUUGCUGCAUGAGCGCAAGCAGCUUGGCAAGUUUUGAACUGCAAGCAUGGUGUGUUUCUUGCGUUGCAUGCCAUCGUGGGUUUGCGCAUUAAGAAAACUUAAAGCACAUGGUACGAUGUUUCCGAACGUAUGAAUGUGCUGUGCUAUAUUUAUGCAUGGACUUUUAUAACGCGCGUCGGGCUGCAAUGCUCUUGCGCCCUCGGCCGCCAUGCGCGGAUGCUCCCUAUCUGGCGGUGGGCCGCGCAAGGCAUGUCCUUGACGUUCAUUACGAUGACAAAAUGUUCUC